rnacentral:rRNA from 1 species
UACGGGGGGGGCAAGCGUUGUUCGGAAUUACUGGGCGUAAAGGGCUUGUAGGUGGCCAACUAAGUCAGACGUGAAAUCCCUCAGCUUAACUGGGGAACUGCGUCUGAUACUGGAUGGCUUGAGUUUGGGAGAGGGAUGUGGAAUUCCAGGUGUAGCGGUGAAAUGCGUAGAUAUCUGGAGGAACACCGGUGGCGAAGGCGGCAUCCUGGACCGAUAUUGACGCUGAUGCGCGAAAGCCAGGGGAGCAAACGGG